rnacentral:rRNA from 1 species
AUUGAACGCUGGCGGCAUGCCUUACACAUGCAAGUCGAACGGUAACAGGUCUUCGGAUGCUGACGAGUGGCGAACGGGUGAGUAAUGCAUCGGAACGUGCCCAGUAGUGGGGGAUAGCCCGGCGAAAGCCGGAUUAAUACCGCAUACGACCUGAGGGUGAAAGGGGGGGAUCGCAAGACCUCUCGCUAUUGGAGCGGCCGAUGUCAGAUUAGCUAGUUGGUGGGGUAAAGGCCUCCCAAGGCAACGAUCUGUAGUUGGUCUGAGAGGACGACCAGCCCCACUGGGACUGAGACACGGCCCAGACUCGUACGGGAGGCAGCGGUGGGGAAUUUUGGACAAUGGGCGCAAGCCUGAUCCAGCAAUGCCGCGUGCAGGAAGAAGGCCUUCGGGUUGUAAACUGCUUUUGUCAGGGAAGAAAUCUUCUGGGUUAAUACCUCGGGAGGAUGACGGUACCUGAAGAAUAAGCACCGGCUAACUACGUGCCAGCAGCCGCCGUAACAC